ensembl:lncRNA
ACUACUACUACUACUACUACUGCCCAGGUAAAGACUAGACACACCUCACCACCACCACCACCACUACUACUACUACUAUUACUACUACCCAGGUAAAGCCUAGAACACACCUCACCACUACUACUACUACUACUACUACUAUUACUACUGCCCAGGUAAAGACUAUAACACACCUCACCACCACCACUACUACCACUACCACUACUACUACUACUACUACUACUACUACUACUACUACUACUACUGCCCAGGUAAAGACUAGACACACCUCACCACCACUACUACCACUACUACUACUAUUACUACUGCCCAGGUAAAGACUAGAACACACCUCACUACUACUACUACUACUACUACUACUACUACUACUACUACUACUACUACUACUGCCCAGGUAAAGACUAGAACACACCUCACUACUACUACUACUACUACUACUAUUA